rnacentral:tRNA from 1 species
CCAUAGCCAAGUUGGUAAGGCAAUUGACUGCAACUCAAUGAGCGGCGGUUCAAGUCCGUCUGG